AGCAGGAUAGAGAAGCGGAAUCUCACAUGGCUCAUAUCCAUGGAAACGGCGGUUCGAAUCCGUCUCCUGCAA
rnacentral:tRNA from 1 species